rnacentral:misc_RNA from 1 species
AAGUCGUAACAAGGUUUCCGUAGGUGAACCUGCGGAAGGAUCAUUGACAAAAUCUAACAACAACCCUGUUGAAAUGUAUCUCAGUAUUGAAUCAGUCGAUUCUUCACUGGGCAACCCUUCCUUUUGUAACAGUCGUUAUGAAAGGAGGGCUUUAAAUUUAAUGACUAUUGAUAUCUAUGCCUAAAGAUGAAACAUCUUAAAUGUUAUAAACAACUUUUAACAAUGGAUCUCUUGGCUCUU